rnacentral:tRNA from 1 species
UGGCUGAGUGGUAAGUCGCUUGACUUCCGAAUCAAGAGGUCUCGAGUUCGAAUCUCGA